rnacentral:rRNA from 1 species
CCUACGGGGGGCUGCAGUGAGGAAUAUUGGUCAAUGGGCGAAAGCCUGAACCAGCCAUGCCGCGUGAAGGACGAAGGCGUUCUGCGUUGUAAACUUCUUUUAUAAGGGAAGAAACCUCAGUUUUCUAAUUGAGCCGACGGUACCUUAUGAAUAAGCACCGGCUAACUCCGUGCCAGCAGCCGCGGUAAUACGGAGGGUGCAAGCGUUAUCCGGAUUUACUGGGUUUAAAGGGUGUGUAGGCGGAUAUUUAAGUCAGUGGUGAAAUCCUACAGCUU